rnacentral:rRNA from 1 species
GAUGAACGCUGGCGGCGUGCCUAAUACAUGCAAGUCGAGCGAACAGACGAGGAGCUUGCUCCUCUGACGUUAGCGGCGGACGGGUGAGUAACACGUGGAUAACCUACCUAUAAGACUGGGAUAACUUCGGGAAACCGGAGCUAAUACCGGAUAAUAUAUUGAACCGCAUGGUUCAAUAGUGAAAGACGGUUUUGCUGUCACUUAUAGAUGGAUCCGCGCCGCAUUAGCUAGUUGGUAAGGUAACGGCUUACCAAGGCAACGAUGCGUAGCCGACCUGAGAGGGUGAUAGCCCACACUGGAACUGAGACACGGUCCAGACUCCUACGGGAGGCAGCAGUAGGGAAUCUUCCGCAAAGGGCGAAAGCCUGACGGAGCAACGCCGCGUGAGAGAUGAAGGUCUUCGGAUCGUAAAACUCUGUUAUUAGGGAAGAACAAAUGUGUAAGUAACUAUGCACGUAUUGACGGUACCUAAUCAGAAAGCCACGGCUAACUACGUG